UGGUGAAAAUGGAGCUCCUGGUCAGAUGAA
rnacentral:piRNA from 1 species